CUACAGGGGUAUCUAAUCCUGUUUGCUCCCCUAGCUUUCGCGCCUCAGCGUCAGUCGUGGCCCAGAAGGCCGCCUUCGCCACCGGUGUUCUUCCAAAUAUCUGCGCAUUCCACCGCUACACUUGGAAUUCCGCCUUCCCCUACCAGACUCAAGCCUGCCGGUAUCAGGAGCGGACGGGGGUUGAGCCCCCGGAUUUAACUCUUGACCUAACAGGCCGCCUACGCGCGCUUUACGCCCAAUGAAUCCGGAUAACGCUCGCCCCCUACGUAUUACCGCGGCUGCUGGCAC
rnacentral:rRNA from 1 species